GACGAACGCUGGCGGCGUGCUUAACACAUGCAAGUCGAACGAUGAAGCUGGAGCUUGCUCCGGUGGAUUAGUGGCGAACGGGUGAGUAACACGUGAGCAAUCUGCCCUUGACUCUGGGAUAACUGCGGGAAACUGUAGCUAAUACCGGAUACGAGACCUGAAGGCAUCUUCGGGUCUGGAAAGAAUUUCGGUCAAGGAUGAGCUCGCGGCCUAUCAGCUUGUUGGUGAGGUAAUGGCUCACCAAGGCGACGACGGGUAGCCGGCCUGAGAGGGUGACCGGCCACGCUGGGACUGAGACACGGCCCAGACUCCUACGGGAGGCAGCAGUGGGGAAUAUUGCACAAUGGGCGAAAGCCUGAUGCAGCAACGCCGCGUGAGGGAUGAAGGCCUUCGGGUUGUAAACCUCUUUUAGCAGGGAAGAAGCGAAAGUGACGGUACCUGCAGAAAAAGCACCGGCUAACUACGUGCCAGCCGCCGCGGUAA
rnacentral:rRNA from 1 species